rnacentral:rRNA from 1 species
GAUGAACGCUGGCGGCGUGCCUAAUACAUGCCAGUCGAGCGAACAGACGAGGAGCUUGCUCCUCUGACGUUAGCGGCGGACGGGUGAGUAACACGUGGAUAACCUACCUAUAAGACUGGGAUAACUUCGGGAAACCGGAGCUAAUACCGGAUAAUAUAUUGAACCGCAUGGUUCAAUAGUGAAAGACGGUUUUGCUGUCACUUAUAGAUGGAUCCGCGCCUCAUUAGCUAGUUGGUAGGGUAACGGCUUACCAAGGCAACGAUGCGUAGCCGAACUGAGAGGGGGAUCGGCGACACUGGAACUGAGACGCGGUCCAGGCUCCUACGGGAGGCAGCAGUAGGGAAUCUUCCGCAAUGGGCGAAAGCCUGACGGAGCAACGCCGCGUGAGUGAUGAAGGUCUGCGGAUCGUAAAACUCUGUUAUUAGGGAAGAACAAAUGUGUAAGUAACUAUGCACGUCUUGACGGUACCUAAUCAGAAAGCCACGGCUAACUACGU